GCCAACGGCCAUACCAUGUUGAAUACAUCGGUUCUCGUCCGAUCACUGAAGUUAAGCAACUUUGGGCUGGUUAGUGCCUGGAUGGGAUGAAAGCUCUAUAGCCGUUUAGA
rnacentral:rRNA from 1 species